rnacentral:rRNA from 1 species
AAAGAAGCAGAGGGGGCUUAGUGGUGGGGUGACUGCGUACCUUUUGUAUAAUGGGUCAGCGACUUAUAUUCUGUAGCAAGGUUAACCGAAUAGGGGAGCCGCAGGGAAACCGAGUCUUAAUUGGGCGUUAAGUUGCAGGGUAUAGACCCGAAACCCGGUGAUCUAGCCAUGGGCAGGUUGAAGGUUGGGUAACACUAACUGGAGGACCGAACCGACUAAUGUUGAAAAAUUAGCGGAUGACCUGUGGCUGGGGGUGAAAGGCCAAUCAAACCGGGAGAUAGCUGGUUCUCCCCGAAAGCUAUUUAGGUAGCGCCUCGUGAAUUCAUCUCCGGGGGUAGAGCACUGUUUCGGCUAGGGGGCCAUCCCGGCUUACCAACCCGAUGCAAACUGCGAAUACCGGAGAAUGUUAUCACGGGAGACACACGGCGGGUGCUAACGUCCGUCGUGAAGAGGGAAACAACCCAGACCGCCAGCUAAGGUCCCAAAGUCAUGGUUAAGUGGGAAACGAUGUGGGAAGGCCCAGACAGCCAGGAUGUUGGCUUAGAAGCAGCCAUCAUUUAAAGAAAGCGUAAUAGCUCACUGGUCGAGUCGGCCUGCGCGGAAGAUGUAACGGGGCUAAACCAUGCACCGAAGCUGCGGCAGCGACGCUGAUGCGUUGUUGGGUAGGGGAGCGUUCUGUAAGCCUGUGAAGGUGUGUCGUGAGGCAUGCUGGAGGUAUCAGAAGUGCGAAUGCUGACAUAAGUAACGAUAAAGCGGGUGAAAAGCCCGCUCGCCGGAAGACCAAGGGUUCCUGUCCAACGUUAAUCGGGGCAGGGUGAGUCGACCCCUAAGGCGAGGCCGAAAGGCGUAGUCGAUGGGAAACGGGUUAAUAUUCCCGUACUUGGUGUUACUGCGAAGGGGGGACGGAGAAGGCUAUGUUGGCCGGGCGACGGUUGUCCCGGUUUAAGCGUGUAGGUGUGUGUUCCAGGUAAAUCCGGUUCACUUUAACACUGAGGCGUGAUGACGAGGCACUACGGUGCUGAAGCAACAAAUGCCCUGCUUCCAGGAAAAGCCUCUAAGCAUCAGGUAACAUCAAAUCGUACCCCAAACCGACACAGGUGGUCAGGUAGAGAAUACCAAGGCGCUUGAGAGAACUCGGGUGAAGGAACUAGGCAAAAUGGUGCCGUAACUUCGGGAGAAGGCACGCUGACAC